GACGUAGGGCGCGAGCGUUGUCCGGAUUUAUUGGGCGUAAAGGGCUCGUAGGCGGCCAACUAAGUCGGAUGUGAAAUCCCCAGGCUUAACCUGGGAACUGCAUCCGAUACUGGAUGGCUUGAAUCCGGGAGAGGGAUGCAGAAUUCCAGGUGUAGCGGUGAAAUGCGUAGAUAUCUGGAAGAACACCCGUGGCUAAGGCGGCUCUCUAGUACGGUACUGACGCUGAGACGCGAAAGCGUGGGGAGCGAACAGG
rnacentral:rRNA from 1 species